rnacentral:rRNA from 1 species
UACGGAGGGGGCUAGCGUUGUUCGGAAUUAUUGGGCUUAAAGCGCGCGUAGGCGGCUUUGCAAGUUAGAGGUGAAAGCCCGGAGCUUAACUCCGGAACUGCCUUUAAAACUGCAUCGCUAGAAUCGUGGAGAGGUGAGUGGAAUUCCGAGUGUAGAGGUGAAAUUCGUAGAUAUUCGGAAGAACACCAGUGGCGAAGGCGACUCACUGGACAAGUAUUGACGCUGAGGUGCGAAAGCGUGGGGAGCAAACAGG